CAAUAUCCCCAAAAUCCAUCCUUAUUCAACGAAGUGCAAUUUGAUAUACAUGUAUUGGCACUGAGUAAAUUAUAACAUUUACCACAAGGGAAUGAGUGGUAGAGUCAACACCUGUGACAUGGCUUCUGCAGACACGGACAAAGAAGUUGUGAUUGUUGAUGAUGGUUCUCUCAUGUUUAGAGCUGGGUAUUCAGGGGAGAGAGAACCAAAAGUUAACUUCCCAUGUGUGGUCGGUAAACGUAAAAAGACUUUAGUAGAAACAACAAUGAAUAAAGAACAAAGAACAACCGCUAUUGGAUAUGACGCAGAAAAAGCUCUUCAAACAUACGAUUUGCAUUUUCCGAUUGAAAAUGGGUGUAUCACAAACUGGGAUGAUAUGGAACUUGUCUGGAAUCAUGCAUUUAAAAAAAAUAGAGCUCCCGGAUAAAAGAAUACUUAUGACGGCAGAUCCUGACGAAGUUAACAGAAAACAGUUAUUGGAAAAGUUUUUUACUAAAUAUUCUCCUGCUGCCGUUUUACUUGCUAAUCAGGCUGUUCUUUCCCUUUUGGCUUCAGGUCGAUCGACGGGGUUGGUAGUCUGUUUUGGAGAGGGCACAUCUUAUGUCGUUCCAAUAUAUGAAAAUUAUGUAUUUGAAGACUUUGUCCAAAACUGGGAUUACAAUGGAAAAGCACUGACAAAAAUACUGAAGGAAACGUUGGAACGAGCUGGUUUUAAGCCAUCAUACACUCUUGCGACAGAGAUAAAAGAAACGUAUUGUUACGUAGCCCUUGAUCCUCAAGAAGAAAUAAAUAGCUUCACUCCUAUAUCGCACGAUCUAUCUGAUGGGCAACAAAUUAAAAUUGGUCCAGAAGCGUUUCAGUGCCCAGAAUUACUUUUUCAAAAAUAUUGCAUACACAAAGUUAUCAUUGACACAGUAAAGAAAUGCGAUAGCAUUAUACAGAAGACUUUAUUUGCAAAUAUUGUACUUACAGGAGGGUCUACUCUGCUUCGUGGGUUUUCUGAAAGACUGAAAAGAGAAAUAAAACAUAAUACUGGAGCAAACAUAAACAUUAUUAGUCUUGAUGAUCAUAUCUUGUCUGCAUGGAAGGGCGGAUCUAAGAUUGUUUCUGAAAAUCUGUUUCCGGAAAAAUGGAUCACUAAAGCCGAGUUUGAGUCAGGGACGGACACACUCCUAUCAAAGUAUAUCUACUCAAUAUAAACACUAAAUUUUCCAGUACUGCAUGGUUAUUAUAUCUAUAUGCACGAACAUAAAUUUCAUUUACGAAUAUAUACGA